rnacentral:rRNA from 1 species
UAUGUCUUCGGAUAUAGAGACCGGCGCACGGGUGCGUAACGCGUAUGCAAUCUACCUUUUACAGGGGAAUAGCCCAGAGAAAUUUGGAUUAAUGCCCCAUAGUAUAAUUGAAUGGCAUCAUUUAAUUAUUAAAGUCACAACGGUAAAAGAUGAGCAUGCGUCCCAUUAGUUAGUUGGUAAGGUAACGGCUUACCAAGACAAUGAUGGGUAGGGGUCCUGAGAGGGAGAUCCCCCACACUGGUACUGAGACACGGACCAGACUCCUACGGGAGGCAGCAGUGAGGAAUAUUGGACAAUGGGCGCAAGCCUGAUCCAGCCAUGCCGCGUGCAGGAAGACGGUCCUAUGGAUUGUAAACUGCUUUUAUACAGGAAGAAACACUCCGACGUGUCGGAGCUUGACGGUACUGUAGGAAUAAGGAUCGGCUAACUCCGUGCCAGCAGCCGCGGUAAUACGGAGGAUCCAAGCGUUAUCCGGAAUCAUUGGGUUUAAAGGGUCCGUAGGCGGUUUAAUAAGUCAGUGGUGAAAUCUGGUCGCUCAACGAUCAAACGGCCAUUGAUACUGUUAGACUUGAAUUAUAAGGAAGUAACUAGAAUAUGUAGUGUAGCGGUGAAAUGCUUAGAUAUUACAUGGAAUACCAAUUGCGAAGGCAGGUUACUACUUAUGGAUUGACGCUGAUGGACGAAAGCGUGGGGAGCGAACAGGAUUAGAUACCCUGGUAGUCCACGCCGUAAACGAUGGAUACUAGCUGUUGGAAGCAAUUUCAGUG